ACCUCAAGAUUUUUCGGGCACACUUCAUUACCUUCUCGAUCCACUGGCAAUGUUCGUCACCCACAUCUGGGCUUUGGGUUGCCAUGGAGACGUUAAGCGACAGCAGCUGACAGAAGAAGUACUCCCCUCUGCGGAUGUACUGGUCAUCGUCUUACAUUGGCGGACAAGCUAUUAUUAUUACCUUCUGAUGGCGAGCAAUGUGGAGAACUCUAAGGUGUGACUGGGGAGAGGGAAAGUGUCUAAAACGGAGAGAGGACUAACCGCCGAACCUGGCACUGUGGGGGAUGAGCCGGACCAACAGGGAGCCUCAAGUGGAGGAUUGGAAGGAAACGGAAACUGCGAUAGUAUGAACACAUCACCCGUUCAUCCGGCCUUGCCAAGAUGACCCUGCAAGGCAGCGUCCAGGGAAAAGGGAACAGAGGCAGAC